rnacentral:rRNA from 1 species
AUUGAACGCUAGCGGGAUGCUUUACACAUGCAAGUCGAACGAGUGGCGGACGGGUGAGUAAUAUAUCGGAACGUGCCCAGUAGCGGGGGCUAACUACUCGCAAGAGUGGCUAAUACCGCAUCAUAUUGGAGCGGACGCUAUCGGAUUAGAUAGUGGGUGGGGUAAAGGCUCACAACGGCACCGAUCCGUAGCUGGUUUGAGCGGACGACCAGCCACACGGGGACUAGGACACGGCCCAGACUCCUACGGUAGGCAGCAGUGGGGAAUUUUGGACAAUGGGGGAAACCCUGAUCCAGCCAUCCCGCGUGUAUGAGAAGGCCUUCGGGUUGUAAAGUACUUUUGGCAGAGAAGCGGUAUCUGCAGAAUAAGCACCGGCUAACUACGUGCCAGCCGCCGCGGUAAUAC